GUGCUUGCUCCAGCAGCACAUAUAUUAAAAUGAGAACAAUACAGAGAAGAUUAGCAUGACCCCUUUGCAAGGAUGACAUGCAAAUUUGUGAAGCAUCCCAUAUUUUG
rnacentral:snRNA from 1 species